GACGAACGCUGGCGGCGUGCUUAACACAUGCAAGUCGAACGAAGUGGCGAACGGGUGAGUAACGCGUAAUCAACCUGCCCUUCAGAGGGGGACAACAGUUGGAAACGACUGCUAAUACCGCAUACUGAAGGAGGGGUUUGCGUCGGAUUAGCUAGCUGGGGGGGUAACGGCCCACCAAGGCGAUGAUCAGUAGCCUGUCUGAGGGGAGUGACGGGCACAAUGGGACUGGAGAAAGGCCCAGAAUUCUACGGGGAGCAGCGAGGGGGAAUCGUCCGAAAUGGGCGGAAGGCUGGCGGCGCAACGGCGGGUGGGGGGUGACGGCCUUCGGGUUGUAAAGCUCUGUUAAUCGGGGCGCGGUACCGGAAUAGAAAGCCACGGCUAACUACGUGCCAGCAGCCGCGGUAAUAC
rnacentral:rRNA from 1 species